rnacentral:rRNA from 1 species
GAUGAAUGCUGGCGGCGUGCCUAAUACAUGCAAGUCGAGCGAACAGACGAGGAGCUUGCUCCUCUGACGUUAGCGGCGGACGGGUGAGUAACACGUGGAUAACCUACCUAUAAGACUGGGAUAACUUCGGGAAACCGGAGCUAAUACCGGAUAAUAUAUUGAACCGCAUGGUUCAAUAGUGAAAGACGGUUUUGCUGUCACUUAUAGAUGGAUCCGCGCCGCAUUAGCUAGUUGGUAAGGUAACGGCUUACCAAGGCAACGAUGCGUAGCCGACCUGAGAGGGUGAUCGGCCACACGGGAACUGAGACACGGUCCAGACUCCUACGGGAGGCAGCAGUAGGGAAUCUUCCGCAAUGGGCGAAAGCCUGACGGAGCAACGCCGCGUGAGUGAUGAAGGUCUUCGGAUCGUAAAACUCUGUUAUUAGGGAAGAACAAAUGUGUAAGUAACUAUGCACGUCUUGACGGUACCUAAUCAGAAAGCCACGGCUAACUACGUG